rnacentral:rRNA from 1 species
AUUGAACGCUGGCGGCAGGCCUAACACAUGCAAGUCGAGCGGAUGAAGGGAGCUUGCUCCUGGAUUCAGCGGCGGAUGGGUGAGUAAUGCCUAGGAAUCUGCCUGGUAGUGGGGGAUAACGUCCGGAAACGGGCGCUAAUACCGCAUACGUCCUGAGGGAGAAAGUGGGGGAUCUUCGGACCUCACGCUAUCAGAUGAGCCUAGGUCGGAUUAGCUAGUUGGUGGGGUAAAGGCCUACCAAGGCGACGAUCCGUAACUGGUCUGAGAGGAUGAUCAGUCACACUGGAACUGAGACACGGUCCAGACUCCUACGGGAGGCAGCAGUGGGGAAUAUUGGACAAUGGGCGAAAGCCUGAUCCAGCCAUGCCGCGUGUGUGAAGAAGGUCUUCGGAUUGUAAAGCACUUUAAGUUGGGAGGAAGGGCAGUAAGUUAAUACCUUGCUGUUUUGACGUUACCAACAGAAUAAGCACCGGCUAACUUCAUG